ensembl:snRNA U1 U1 spliceosomal RNA
AUUCUUAGGUGACAGUGGAAAUACCAUAAUCAUGAAGGUACUUUACUCAUGGUAAGGCUCAUCCAUUAUAUAUCAGAUGUGAGUGCUGACUGAAAAUUUCCUCAAAUUUUGAAAACUCAACUGCAUACUUUGUGGUAGUCAAGUAGUAUGCUUGCACUUUCCCCUUUA